AUGGCAGCCCCUCCUCUGGCAGAGUCAGGGGGAGAAAAGGAGGCCUGGGGCAGCCCAGCCUCACUGUGGGGACCAGGGUCCUGUGAACACCAUGGCCUGCACUCCUCUCCUCUCGUGUUCCUCUCUCACUGUUCAGAUUCCCUCUCCCAGCCUGUGCUGACUCAGCCGGCAUCCCCAUCUGCGUCUCCAGGAGCAACAGCCAGACUCACCGGCACCCUGAGCAGUGGGUACAGUGUUGGUGGCUACCAAAUGUCCUGUUUCCAGCAGAAGCCAGGGGGCCCUCCCCGGUCCCUCCUGAUGUUCAAGUCAGACUCAGAUAAGCCCCAGGGCUCCGGGGUCCCCAGUCACUUCUCUGGAUCCAAGGCUGGCUCGGCCAACACAGGGCUCCUGCUCAUCUCUGGGCUGCAGACUCAGGAUGAGGCUGAUUAG